UUCGGGAGGGGGGGCGAGUCCUUCAGCCCAGAUUGCAAGAGGGUGCAGGCCAGGCUGAGGGACCCCCGGUACACA
rnacentral:pre_miRNA from 1 species